AUUGAACGCUGGCGGCAGGCUUAACACAUGCAAGUCGAGCGGAGAUGAGGUGCUUGCACCUUAUCUUAGCGGCGGACGGGUGAGUAAUGCUUAGGAAUCUGCCUAUUAGUGGGGGACAACAUUCCGAAAGGAAUGCUAAUACCGCAUACGUCCUACGGGAGAAAGCAGGGGAUCUUCGGACCUUGCGCUAAUAGAUGAGCCUGAGUUGGAUUAGCUAGUUGGUGGGGUAAAGGCCUACCAAGGCGACGAUCUGUAGCGGGUCUGAGAGGAUGAUCCGCCACACUGGGACUGAGACACGGCCCAGACUCCUACGGGAGGCAGCAGUGGGGAAUAUUGGACAAUGGGGGGAACCCUGAUCCAGCCAUGCCGCGUGUGUGAAGAAGGCCUUAUGGUUGUAAAGCACUUUAAGCGAGGAGGAGGCUACUGAGACUAAUACUCUUGGAUAGUGGACGUUACUCGCAGAAUAAGCACCGGCUAACUCUGUGCCAGCCGCCGCCGUAAUAC
rnacentral:rRNA from 1 species